GAGUUUGAUUAUGGCUCAGGAUGAACGCUAGCGGCAGGCUUAACACAUGCAAGUCGAGGGGCAGCAUAAGGGUAGCAAUACCUUGGUGGCGACCGGCAGACGGGUGAGUAACGCGUAUGCAAUCUACCUUAUACAGGGGAAUAACCCGGAGAAAUUCGGACUAAUACCCCAUAAUGAAUAAAAUUGGCAUCGAUUUUAUUUUAAAGGAGCAAUCCGGUAUAAGAUGAGCAUGCGUAUCAUUAGAUAGUUGGUAAGGUAACGGCUUACCAAGUCUACGAUGAUUAGGGGUUCUGAGAGGAUAAUCCCCCACACUGGGACUGAGACACGGCCCAGACUCCUACGGGAGGCAGCAGUGAGGAAUAUUGGUCAAUGGCCGCAAGGCUGAACCAGCCAUGCCGCGUGCAGGAUGACGGCCCUACGGGUUGUAAACUGCUUUUAUAUAAGAACAAUAAAACCUACGAGUAGGUUGACGAGAGUAUUAUAUGAAUAAGCACCGGCUAACUCCGUGCCAGCAGCCGCGGUAAUACGGAGGGUGCAAGCGUUAUCCGGAUUUAUUGGGUUUAAAGGGUGCGUAGGCUGUUGAGUAAGUCAGCGGUGAAAUUUUCCGGCUUAACCGGGAACUUGCCGUUGAUACUGCUUAGCUUGAAUAUGAAUGAAGUUGGAGGAAUGUGUAGUGUAGCGGUGAAAUGCAUAGAUAUUACACAGAAGGUCGAUUGCGAAGGCAUCUGACUAAUUCAUUAUUGACGCUGAUGCACGAAAGCGUGGGGAUCAAACAGGAUUAGAUACCCUGGUAGUCCACGCCGUAAACGAUGAUAACUCGCUGUUGGGCGUAAGCUCAGUGGCCAAGCGAAAGCGAUAAGUUAUCCACCUGGGGAGUACGGUCGCAAGACUGAAACUCAAAGGAAUUGACGGGGCCCGCACAAGCGGAGGAACAUGUGGUUUAAUUCGAUGAUACGCGAGGAACCUUACCCGGGCUCGACGGCUAAUG
rnacentral:rRNA from 1 species